UGCUUAGUCCCAGGACGGCCAUCAGUGAGUACACCAGCCCCCAGCGCCCCCAGUUUCUGUCCUGCCCCCCUUGCUGCAGUGCAGUCCCCUGGCCCCCCACCCAAGGCUGGUGGACACAUUGAGAGCAGCUGGCUGACCCCCACCUGCCACCUCGCCCAAGACCUGCAGGACAAGGCUGGACUCUACAGAGCCAAGAGCAGAGGAACUGGGGACCGAGCGGCCACCUGAGAUGAAGAAAGCUUGGAACAGCGUGUGCCGACGUCCUGGAGAUAGCAGGAGGGGAGCAAACCCCAGCCAAGACCUUCCAACUCAUCCACCGGAAGAGCGGGGCCCCACCAGGCACACAGGGCAGCCCUGGGCUGUCUGCUAAAGCCAAGAUGUGGCAGGACCCCAAGGGGAGGGGCGUCUUCCCCGGGUGCCGACCUUGGCAGGGAAACAGGAGGAUGUUCCCACGCUGACCAGAGACAGACGGGGAGGGAAGAGCCGCCAGUCUGUCCAUCCAUCCACCUGUCCGUCCACGCAGCCCACCCUGGGUGC